rnacentral:rRNA from 1 species
GAAUGGGGAAACCCAGUGUGACUCGUCACACUAUCAUUAACUGAAUCCAUAGGUUAAUGAGGCGAACCGGGGGAACUGAAACAUCUAAGUACCCCGAGGAAAAGAAAUCAACCGAGAUUCCCCCAGUAGCGGCGAGCGAACGGGGAGGAGCCCAGAGCCUGAAUCAGCAUGUGUGUUAGUGGAAGCGUCUGGAAAGGCGCGCGAUACAGGGUGACAGCCCCGUACACAAAAGCGCAUGUGCUGUGAGCUCGAUGAGUAGGGCGGGACACGUGGUAUCCUGUCUGAAUAUGGGGGGACCAUCCUCCAAGGCUAAAUACUCCUGACUGACCGAUAGUGAACCAGUACCGUGAGGGAAAGGCGAAAAGAACCCCGGCGAGGGGAGUGAAAAAGAACCUGAAACCGUGUACGUACAAGCAGUGGGAGCACAGGUUUACCUGUGUGACUGCGUACCUUUUGUAUAAUGGGUCAGCGACUUAUAUUCUGUAGCAAGGUUAACCGAAUAGGGGAGCCGGAGGGAAACCGAGUCUUAAU